rnacentral:rRNA from 1 species
GAUGAACGCUGGCGGCGUGCCUAAUACAUGCCAGUCGAGCGAACAGACGAGGAGCUUGCUCCUCUGACGUUAGCGGCGGACGGGUGAGUAACACGUGGAUAACCUACCUAUAAGACUGGGAUAACUUCGGGAAACCGGAGCUAAUACCGGAUAAUAUAUUGAACCGCAUGGUUCAAUAGUGAAAGACGGUUUUGCUGUCACUUAUAGAUGGAUCCGCGCCGCAUUAGCUAGUUGGUAAGGUAACGGCUUACCAAGGCAACGAUGCGUAGCCGACCUGAGAGGGUGAUCGGCCACACUGGAACUGAGACACGGUCCAGACUCCUACGGGAGGCAGCAGUAGGGAAUCUUCCGCAAUGGGCGAAAGCUUGACGGAGCAACGCCGCGUGAGUGAUGAAGGUCUUCGGAUCGUAAAACUCUGUUAAUAGGGAAGAACAAAUGUGUAAGUAACUAUGCACGUCUUGACGGUACCUAAUCAGAAAGCCACGGCUAACUACGUG